AUUGAACGCUGGCGGCAGGCCUAACACAUGCAAGUCGAACGAGUGGCGGACGGGUGAGUAAUGUCUGGGAAACUGCCUGAUGGAGGGGGAUAACUACUGGAAACGGUAGCUAAUAACGCAUACCAUCGGAUUUGCCCAGAUGGGAUUGGCUAGUAGGUGGGGUAAAGGCUCACCUGGGCGACGAUCCCUAGCUGGUCUGAGAGGAUGACCAUCCACUAUGGAACUGGGACACGGUGCAGUCUCAUACGGUAGGCAGCAGAGGGGAAUAUUGCAAAUUGGGCGCAAGCCUGAUGCAGCCAUGCCGAGUGUAUGAAGAAGGCAUUCGAGUUGUAAAGUACUUUCAGCGGUGCAGCGUUACCCGCAGAAGAAGCACCGGCUAACUCCGUGCCAGCAGCCGCGGUAAUAC
rnacentral:rRNA from 1 species